UACGGGGGGGGUAAGCGUUGUUCGGAAUUACUGGGCGUAAAGGGCUCGUAGGCGGCCUUCUAAGUCGAACGUGAAAUCCCCGGGCUCAACCCGGGAACUGCGUCCGAUACUGGAAGGCUUGAAUCCGGGAGAGGGAUGCGGAAUUCCAGGUGUAGCGGUGAAAUGCGUAGAUAUCUGGAGGAACACCGGUGGCGAAGGCGACAUCCUGGACCGGUAUUGACGCUGAGGCGCGAAAGCCAGGGGAGCAAAGCGGG
rnacentral:rRNA from 1 species